GCCCAUGAAGACUCAUUCCAACUUAUCUGAGAUGUUGUGUAGCCAAGACCCUGCUUCAGGGAGAACCUACUUGGUGAACCAACAUUUAUUUGAGUUAUAUGGAUUUUGCAGAGGU